rnacentral:rRNA from 1 species
AUUGAACGCUGGCGGCGUGCCUUACACAUGCAAGUCGGACGUGUGGCGCACGGGUGAGUAACGCAUGGGAACGUCCCUAGUGAUGGGGGAUAACUUUCGGAAAGGACAGCUAAUACCGCAUAUCAUUCCAGCGGCCUAUUUCUGCUUAGCUGGGUGGCGGGGUAAAGGCACACAAAGGCGACGAUCAUUAGCGGGUCCGAGAGGAUGAUCCGCAACACUGGGACUGAGACACGGCCCAGACUCUUACGGGAGGCAGCAGUGGGGAAUUGUGGAAAAUGGGCGAAAGCCUGAUCCAGCAAUGCCGCGUGUGUGAAGAAGGCCUUCGGGUUGUAAAGGACUUUUGUCAGGGAAGCGGUACCUGAAGAAUAAGCACCGGCUAACUACGUGCCAGCAGCCGCGGUAAUAC